AAUUAAUGAGCUUGUCAAAAAGCAUUUGUUUUGAAAACUUAAGAAAGAAUCUAUUUCUAUUAAUUU
rnacentral:tRNA from 1 species